AUUGAACGCUGGCGGAAUGCUUUACACAUGCAAGUCGAACGGCAGCACGGACUUCGGUCUGGUGGCGAGUGGCGAACGGGUGAGUAAUGUAUCGGAACGUGCCCAGUCGUGGGGGAUAACGUAGUGAAAAUUACGCUAAUACCGCAUACGAUCUAUGGAUGAAAGCGGGGGAUCGCAAGACCUCGCGCGAUUGGAGCGGCCGAUAUCAGAUUAGGUAGUUGGUGGGGUAAAGGCCCACCAAGCCAACGAUCUGUAGCUGGUCUGAGAGGACGACCAGCCACACUGGAACUGAGACACGGUCCAGACUCCUACGGGAGGCAGCAGUGGGGAAUUUUGGACAAUGGGCGAAAGCCUGAUCCAGCCAUUCCGCGCGCAGGAUGAAGGCCCUCGGGUUGUAAACUGCUUUUGUACAGAACGAAAAGGUUUCUACUAAUACUAGGAGCUCAUGACGGUACUGUAAGAAUAAGCACCGGCUAACUCCGUGCCAGCCGCCGCGGUAA
rnacentral:rRNA from 1 species